GCCUGCGCGGAAGAUGUAACGGGGCUAAACCAUGCACCGAAGCUGCGGCAGCGACACUAUGUGUUGUUGGGUAGGGGAGCGUUCUGUAAGCCUGCGAAGGUGUGCUGUGAGGCAUGCUGGAGGUAUCAGAAGUGCGAAUGCUGACAUAAGUAACGAUAAAGCGGGUGAAAAGCCCGCUCGCCGGAAGACCAAGGGUUCCUGUCCAACGUUAAUCGGGGCAGGGUGAGUCGACCCCUAAGGCGAGGCCGAAAGGCGUAGUCGAUGGGAAACAGGUUAAUAUUCCUGUACUUGGUGUUACUGCGAAGGGGGGACGGAGAAGGCUAUGUUAGCCGGGCGACGGUUGUCCCGGUUUAAGCAUGUAGGCUGGUUAUCCAGGCAAAUCCGGAUAAUCAAGGCUGAGGUGUGAUGACGAGGCACUACGGUGCUGAAGUAACAAAUGCCCUGCUUCCAGGAAAAGCCUCUAAGCAUCAGGUAACAUCAAAUCGUACCCCAAACCGACACAGGUGGUCAGGUAGAGAAUACCAAGGCGCUUGAGAGAACUCGGGUGAAGGAACUAGGCAAAAUGGUGCCGUAACUUCGGGAGAAGGCACGCUGGUGUGUAGGUGAAGUCCCUGCGGAUGGAGCUGAGACCAGUCGAAGAUACCAGCUGGCUGCAACUGUUUAUUAAAAACACAGCACUGUGCAAACACGAAAGUGGACGUAUACGGUGUGACGCCUGCCCGGUGCCGGAAGGUUAAUUGAUGGGGUUAUCCGUAAGGAGAAGCUCUUGAUCGAAGCCCCGGUAAACGGCGGCCGUAACUAUAACGGUCCUAAGGUAGCGAAAUUCCUUGUCGGGUAAGUUCCGACCUGCACGAAUGGCGUAAUGAUGGCCAGGCUGUCUCCACCCGAGACUCAGUGAAAUUGAACUCGCUGUGAAGAUGCAGUGUACCCGCGGCAAGACGGAAAGACCCCGUGAACCUUUACUAUAGCUUGACACUGAACAUUGAGCCUUGAUGUGUAGGAUAGGUGGGAGGCUUUGAAGCGUGGACGCCAGUCUGCGUGGAGCCAACCUUGAAAUACCACCCUUUAAUGUUUGAUGUUCUAACGUUGGCCCCUGACCGGGGUUGCGGACAGUGUCUGGUGGGUAGUUUGACUGGGGCGGUCUCCUCCCAAAGCGUAACGGAGGAGCACGAAGGUUAGCUAAUCCUGGUCGGACAUCAGGAGGUUAGUGCAAUGGCAUAAGCUAGCUUGACUGCGAGCGUGACGGCGCGAGCAGGUGCGAAAGCAGGUCAUAGUGAUCCGGUGGUUCUGAAUGGAAGGGCCAUCGCUCAACGGAUAAAAGGUACUCCGGGGAUAACAGGCUGAUACCGCCCAAGAGUUCAUAUCGACGGCGGUGUUUGGCACCUCGAUGUCGGCUCAUCACAUCCUGGGGCUGAAGUAGGUCCCAAGGGUAUGGCUGUUCGCCAUUUAAAGUGGUACGCGAGCUGGGUUUAGAACGUCGUGAGACAGUUCGGUCCCUAUCUGCCGUGGGCGCUGGAGAAUUGAGGGGGGCUGCUCCUAGUACGAGAGGACCGGAGUGGACGCAUCACUGGUGUUCGGGUUGUCAUGCCAAUGGCACUGCCCGGUAGCUAAAUGCGGAAGAGAUAAGUGCUGAAAGCAUCUAAGCACGAAACUUGCCCCGAGAUGAGUUCUCCCUGAGACUNNNNNNNNNNNNNNGACGUUGAUAGGCCGGGUGUGUAAGCGCAGCGAUGCGUUGAGCUAACCGGUACUAAUGAACCGUGAGGCUUAACCUU
rnacentral:rRNA from 1 species